GCAAACUUGGUCAUUUAGAGGAAGUAAAAGUCGUAACAAGGUAACCGUAGGUGAACCUGCGGUUGGAUCAUUAACAAAUGACAGAGGGUCUUCAAGACCUCUCUUCAACACCUUGUGAAUUGUAAUAGUCUCUGGCGAGUUCCGCUCGCAUGUUUAAAACUUGUAGUAAAACUUUAGUCUAAAAAGCCUAUAUGAGUAAUCUAAACAACUUUUAACAACGGAUCUCUAGGCUCUCGCAUCGAUGAAGAACGCAGC
rnacentral:misc_RNA from 1 species